ACAAAGCUCUUCACAGGCUGGAGGGGUCACGGUGGGAACCUCUAUUACUUCUCCCAAGAAGAGAAGUCGUGGUUCGAGGCCAAGCAGUUCUGUGUGUCUCAGGGCUCACACCUGACCUCCGUCUCCUCCCAGGGGGAGCAGGAGUUCCUCUCCAAGGGGACGGACGGAAAGCGCUACUGGAUUGGACUCACCGACCAGGGCACUGAAGGCCGCUGGCGCUGGGUGGACGGCUCAGAAUACAGAGCAGACGCCAGCAGGGGUUUCUGGUUGCCUGGUGAGCCUAACAAUGAGAACGGCAGAGAAGACUGUGCUCAGUUCCGCACACAGAACCAGACUUUGUGGAAUGACGUCCCUUGCACUCUCCGUUUUCGGUGGAUUUGUAAGCAGCCCAUGGACAGGAGGUGAUGUGCAAUAUCACCUGCUGAAGGUAUGAGGGGGGCACAGAUGAGCUCCCUCUUCCCCCAAACUCCAGGAGCCAAAGUUUUUGGGGAGCGGAGGCAGAGGGCAGAUAAUUAAUGAACUGGAAUUCUUGGAUUUAUCUCUGAGGUCUCUGCAGCAUUAUGCAAAUAUAUGUAAUAUGAUCUCAUCUGGGUCCUCUAGCAAGCAGGAGCAAAGCCUCGUGACUUGGGUGUUCGUUUGUGAGCGCUGACAGCACCGCACCAUCCUCCCUGAUGCUGCCCCGGCCACACGCAGAGCAAAGACAUCGUCCUCCUCCUUCUCUCUUCUCUUCUUUUUCACGCGCGGUUUGUUUGGGGAGGAACUUAGGGUUCUGGGGUGGGGGUGACCCUGGAUGUUGAGUCCAGUAGGGAACGGGGGGAAUUUUGUUUCAUCUCAUUAUUUUCCAUGUACUUUGUCCUUCUUUCUGGCUGUAGCAGAGACACUGGUCCCCUGCUGCCCGGCAUGAAUGGGUCUCUAAUUUGUAUGUUUCCAGGUCUGUCAGUAAAUAAACUACUUGGACCAUGGAGUUACUACUUCCAAAUCAUUCAAUAAAUAAUAAUUUGCUGCCUUCCACUAGAAUUUCUAUUUUGUUUUUGCACCUUGAAAAUCAGAUGCAGAAAGAUGUAGAAAUACAUAUAUAUUCUCUAAAUAUAGAAA